rnacentral:rRNA from 1 species
AGGGCGCUACACAUGCAAGUCGAGGGGUAACAGGGAGCUUGCUCUGCUGACGACCGGCGCACGGUGCGCAACGCGUAUGCAAUCUACCUCUUACUAGGGGAUAGCCCAGAGAAAUUUGGAUUAAUACCCUAUAUUAUAUGGAGUCGCAUCGGCAUUAUAUUAAAGGUUACGGUAAGAGAUGAGCAUGCGUCCCAUUAGUUAGUUGGUAAGGUAACGGCUUACCAAGACUUCGAUGGGUAGGGGUCCUGAGAGGGAGAUCCCCCACACUGGUACUGAGACACGGACCAGACUCCUACGGGAGGCAGCAGUGAGGAAUAUUGGACAAUGGGCGGAAGCCUGAUCCAGCCAUGCCGCGUGCAGGAAGACUGCCCUAUGGGUUGUAAACUGCUUUUAUACGGAAGAAUAAGGUCUACGUGUAGACUGAUGACGGUACCGUAAGAAUAAGGACCGGCUAACUCCGUGCCAGCAGCCGCGGUAAUACGGAGGGUCCGAGCGUUAUCCGGAAUUAUUGGGUUUAAAGGGUCCGUAGGCGGGCUGUUAAGUCAGGGGUGAAAGUUUGCAGCUCAACUGUAAAAUUGCCUUUGAUACUGGCGGUCUUGAGUUAUAUUGAAGUGGCUAGAAUAUGUAGUGUAGCGGUGAAAUGCAUAGAUAUUACAUAGAAUACCGAUUGCGAAGGCAGGUCACUAAGUAUUAACUGACGCUGAUGGACGAAAGCGUGGGUAGCGAACAGGAUUAGAUACCCUGGUAGUCCACGCCGUAAACGAUGGAUACUAGCUGUGUGGUUUUCGGACUGCGCGGCCAAGCGAAAGUGAUAAGUAUCCCACCUGGGGAGUACGUUCGCAAGAAUGAAACUCAAAGGAAUUGACGGGGGCCCGCACAAGCGGUGGAGCAUGUGGUUUAAUUCGAUGAUACGCGAGGAACCUUACCAGGCUUAAUGUAGAUUGACAGGUUUAGAGAUAGACUUCCCUUCGGGCAAUUUACAAGGCUGCAUGGUUGUCGUCAAGCUCGUGCCGUGAGGUGUCAAGGUUAAGUCCUAUACGAGCGCAACCCCUGUCAGCAUGUCAUGAUGGGGGACUUAACAGACUGCGGCACGUGAAGGGGGAUGUCAAUCAUUCCGCCUACACGUGCUACACGGGCC